rnacentral:lncRNA from 1 species
AAAAAAAAACAUGUAAAAAGACCCAAAGCCCAAAGUUCACCAAACUGACGCUGAUCUCAUUUUGCAGAAGUCAGCCCGUUCUCCCCUCUCUGAGAGUGUUACUGUGCUUAAUAAGUCUCUUGCUGCUUUGCUACAUGUGUGUGUGUCACUUCCAAUUCUUUGUUAAAGACACCAAGAACCUGGGACUUCACAACACCAGCCGGUAACAAAGAUCUCUGUAAGACACAAAAGUUGGAUGACAGUCGUUUUGAUUCUUGGACUUUACUAGAGACUCCAAAGACGCAUCUGAGGAGAAAAGCUCUGGGUCCCUGGGAUGACUGUGCCACUCGACAUAGCCUCCUGGAGUGGCCAAAGAGAGUGUGGAUAAGAAAAGAAAUAUUGGAGUGAACUUUCACUCACUCCCACUUCUGUAGGUUUCUUAAAAUAUAUGGGUUUAGAAGCAAGAUACUUGGCGUUUUCAAAUGACUCAAAAGAGAUGUAGAUGAAGAGAAGUUCGGUCAUCCCACAGAUCUUCCGGAGUAACCUGGACACAUCCCUAAAUCUCUAGCUCCUGGGUCUUCGAAAGCCUGUUUGCCUCAGGGUUGGGAGGAAAGGGUUUGGAAAGUACCAAGGCAAGGGUUGGCAAAAAGAUUACCUCAUCAGUGAGGAAAUGAAAUUUCCAGAAGUUUUCGCCAGAUCUGGGACCAGAGACAAAUGCUGGAUGAAUUUCCUAUGCAAACCUCUUUUAGAACCACCGCUUCAAAGGCCGUCCAGAGACUUCAAAUUAGAUCUGGUGAAACUGCUCCCGGUAGGGGAUUGGUAGUUCAGCGGUAGAGGUUUUUGUCUCCCACGCCGGCGACUCCGGUACGACUCCCGGCCAUGCAGGACUUCUUACCCUUCCGGCAGGAAGGGCUACUACGUUUCUACCCAACGAAGUUAUUAUAUUAUACAGGCUGUACUGCAUUUAUGGACCUUGGUCGUGGCAGCUAGAAGCUAACCUGAGGGGCGUGCCACCUCUGGAGCAUUCUCUGUGCUCGAACUAAUAAUCCCGGAAUUUACGUUCCUGUGCUCGAAGCCUGUCCUUGAAAGUGGGGAGUGUUUCCGGUGGGUUGCUGCAGUUUUAAAUACUGGGAAUUAAAACCUUUGCUACUUUCAUCUAGUCUCCCGGCAAACCCCUGGGUAACCCAAAGCCCAUCAGAGGGAUUCGCGUGCUGGGCUUUCCGCUACGUUAGGCCACGUCUCACUAUGGAGCGAGGAUCAAGAAGGUCCGGGAAGGAGAGAAGCUGCGGGGUCCAGGGAGACUCUUCGGCGGUUGGUCGGAGAGGUUUCAGCGGCCCAAGGAAAAGGGAAGCGUGUGGGAAUCUAUCCGCGUAGAGAUGAGGGGCGCGGCGGAGACAGUCCCACGCAGAGGUAUGCCCAAACACCGAGUUACUUAACCUCCUCAACCACCUUGGCAUCCGCGCCUUCCGUGGGCCCGUCGGUCUUCCGGGAGAGAUUCUGUGUCCCUGGUAUUGUGUGUCAACAGGUGUUAGCCUGAUAGUUAUAUUUUUAAUGAGAGAAAACGAACUACAGAAUUUGCGAGUUUUGCUUUUUUUCUGGUUUUGCUUUAUACCUCUUGGAUUCUCCUUCCAAAGGAUUCCAAUCUGAGGGGCAUUGAGGUGUGACUAUGGUAGACAAGGGGUGGUGAAUUUUCAUCCAAAAAUCUUUGGCGGAUUCCCUUGCUCUCCCGCUCCCCAGUCUAAGAGCAGUUUAAAACAGAAGAUCAGAAACAUUUGGAGAGUGUUUUUUUCUCUGCGUUCUAAUGAUAAACUUGAUUUAUUCAAUUCCAAAAGUUUCCUUAUUCUGAGGUUGUCUUUCCAUAUUUUGAGUAUAAAACCAUGGCCAUACUAUAUGUUGGACCCACGAAGGUUCUUCUCUUCACUUGUUUAUUUGUAAAGUCUCUUUGUAAUCUGAGAAUUUCUUGAGUAAACUGGGAACUGUUACACAUAA